rnacentral:rRNA from 1 species
AUACGUAGGGUGCGAGCGUUAUCCGGAAUCAUUGGGCGUAAAGAGCUCGUAGGCGGUUCAGCAAGUCGGCUGUGAAAGUUCGAGGCUCAACCUCGAAAUUGCAGUCGAUACUGCUGUGACUCGAGUCCGGUAGAGGAGAAUGGAAUUCUCGGUGUAGCGGUGAAAUGCGCAGAUAUCGAGAGGAACACCAGUAGCGAAGGCGGUUCUCUGGGCCGGCACUGACGCUGAGGAGCGAAAGCGUGGGGAGCAAACAGGAUUAGAAACCCCGGUAGUCC